UACGUAGGGUGCAAGCGUUUGUCCGGAAUUAUUGGGCGUAAAGAGCUCGUAGGCGGUUUGUUGCGUCGGCUGUGAAAUCCCGAGGCUCAACCUCGGGUCUGCAGUCGAUACGAGCAAACUAGAGUGUUGCAGGGGAGACUGGAAUUCCUGGUGUAGCGGUGAAAUGCGCAGAUAUCAGGAGGAACACCGGGUGGCGAAGGCGGGUCUCUGGGCAACAACUGACGCUGGAGGAGCGAAAGCGUGGGGAGCGAAACAGGAUUAG
rnacentral:rRNA from 1 species